GAAUGCUGACAUAAGUAACGAUAAUGCGGGUGAAAAACCCGCACGCCGGAAGACCAAGGGUUCCUGUCCAACGUUAAUCGGGGCAGGGUGAGUCGACCCCUAAGGCGAGGCUGAAAAGCGUAGUCGAUGGGAAACAGGUUAAUAUUCCUGUACUUGGUGUUACUGCGAAGGGGGGACGGAGAAGGCUAGGCUAGCCGGGCGACGGUUGUCCCGGUUUAAGCAUGUAGGCGGAGUGACCAGGUAAAUCCGGUUGCUUAUCAACGCUGAGGUGUGAUGACGAUGCACUACGGUGCAGAAGUAGUUGAUGCCAUGCUUCCAGGAAAAGCCUCUAAGCAUCAGGUAACAUGAAAUCGUACCCCAAACCGACACAGGUGGUCAGGUAGAGAAUACUCAGGCGCUUGAGAGAACUCGGGUGAAGGAACUAGGCAAAAUGGUGCCGUAACUUCGGGAGAAGGCACGCUGGCAUUA
rnacentral:rRNA from 1 species